CUAGAUAGCUUGACCCCAACAAUGCCGUGGACACUCUGAUGGAAUGCCGUUGACAUGAUCAAAGAUCAAGGACCUAACCAUUAGACAUCUAUGAUGCCUCAGGUCAAAGGACUACUUUGCAUAUUGCAACUUUCGAGUUCUUACAUGACAUGUAUGUUCGAACUCUCUUUUUUAUCGUUGUUCAGUGUACUCGAUUACUCUUUCGAGCACCU
rnacentral:lncRNA from 1 species